UACGUAGGGACCAAGCGUUGUUCGGAUUUACUGGGCGUAAAGGGCGCGUAGGCGGCGCGGUAAGUCACUUGUGAAAUCUCUGAGCUUAACUCAGAACGGCCAAGUGAUACUGCAGUGCUAGAGUGUGGAAGGGGCAAUCGGAAUUCUUGGUGUAGCGGUGAAAUGCGUAGAUAUCAAGAGGAACACCAGUGGCGAAGGCGGCUCACUGGCUCGGUACUGACGCUGAGGUGCGAAAGCGUGGGGAGCAAACAGG
rnacentral:rRNA from 1 species